AUGAGGAGGUUGUUGGAGAUGAAGGAACUUACGAUUUGGCUCACAGUGGUGAUGGGGAAGCAUCACGAUUUGGCUAUGCGAAUUGAGAAUUUUUCGAAUUGAUUUUGUAAUUCUGUACUAUCCUACACCUAAGAUGAAAUGAAAAGUGAUUGAAUUUUGCUCCAUUUCUCCGCAGGUUUUUACAGCCAAAUGGUGCACAAAUCCAAUAAUCAACCCUCCCCCUCACUAUUCCACUAUUUUCUCAUUUACCUCUGUGCGAUCGAACUGUCCGUAUGACAAGAAUUGCAAAUUCUAUAACAUGUCCACAGUUCCAGAAUUAAAAUC
rnacentral:lncRNA from 1 species